UUCCGAUGAUGAUGCAGCCAUGCUAAUACUGAUGCACCAGGCUGGCUGUGUGUCUGUCUGGGUGUAAGUGAGUUCAUCUCACCUUCUCACACUGACAGUGUGCACUGAGGAGC